GGGGCUGGGGCUCAGUGGUAGAGCACUUGCCUUGUAAGUGUGAGGUCCUGGGUUCAAUUCUCAGCACCA
rnacentral:tRNA from 1 species